rnacentral:lncRNA from 1 species
AACUGGCCUGAAUAUACUGUGUUCCUAUGCUGAGGGGAGUUGGGGGGGGGGAGCCUAGAGGUCUGGUAUAUGGCACAGCGUUCAAACAGACACGCCAUUCCAUAGAUGCCUUUAAAAAUCAGAUUAAAGUUUUCUAACGAGGAUGUGUGGGGUUUUGUUUCUGGACUCCAACUGGGCAAUCUCGGAGAAUGGGAUUGUCCCAGAGGAGACGCGGGGAGAACAUUAGCAUCAGCUGUCCAUUUAAAGCAGCGGGUGUGUGGUGAGAAGAGGAGGGGUGCUGGAGUCGUCAAGGCCAGGAGGUGCUGGAGGAGGAGAGGCUGCGAGAACCUCUGUGCAUCGCCUCUGCAGACAGCAUGCGCUGCUUAGCCUGCUGGGAACCAAGAGGAACAGCGGCUGCUUAAGUUCUUGCCUAGGAUGCUGGUCCAGCAACUCCAGACGUGCUGUCGCCUUCUCACCUCCUCUGCUGAGAGCUACAGAUCCUUCGUUGACAGACAGGGAGGGAAAUGUGCAAAUGGAGUGGACAGAGCAAUUUGUCCUCUGAGAGGCUCCAUCCAGCAGCUGACUCAGACAGAUGCAGACAUCCACAGCCAAACAGAGGAUGGAGCUUGGGGACUCCUAUGGAAGACUAGGAGGAAGAAUUGUGGACUCCGAAGGGGAUAGGAACUCCACAGGAAGACCAACAAAGUCAACUAACCCUUGGGAUUUCAGCGUCUGAACCACCAACCAAAGAACAUACACAGGCUGGACCUAGGCCUCCCCACAUAUAUGUACAGUUGGACCUCCACGUGGGUCCUCAACAACUGGACCGAGGGCCAUC